UUGUAGAUAACACCCUGGGCCUAUAAAGGAUGCAACUGAUGUCCAGGGUGAGUACUUGUCAUAUGCCCUUCAAGAGCAGGCUACUCUUAAUCAAUUGACUGGUGUGAGAGUGGAGUAAAAUGCUUCCUAGACUGACCGGGCAUUUGGUGCGUUAUGGUAGGACUAUUUUGUGUUACCUGGUCCUGCUUGUAGCCGCACACCGUCAGCUCUCAGCGGUGGACGCUGUGGAGAACGGGAUGACAAAGUGUGAAUGCCUGAAGAAGAUGCAGGAACACUCCGCGCCAUGCAGAACACAAGUUAAACGUUUCUUUCGAGAUAUGCCGAGCCAAAAUCGAACCCCCCACGAAGUAAAUGUGACAUGCAUAUUCGAAUAUGGCCUGAGUGAGACAGUUCAUCACACGACGCCAAUUCAACAGAAUUCAACAAACCAAAAUACCAAAAUAUCAAACCAAACCCAAAUUCAGCUGUGCAUCGGCCAUUUGAUAGGCCUAGAGGGAAAGUGCAUGGGACAAUUAAGGAGGAGGCCCAGACGCAUCAGCCGAAACGUGGAUCGAUUUUGGUUUUGCCAGAGAGAUUUUUUUUCAAAAGAGUUAUCCUGUGGAUCGUAAAGCACGG